rnacentral:rRNA from 1 species
AGUGAACGCUGGCGGUAGGCCUAACACAUGCAAGUCGAACGGCAGCACAGUAAGAGCUUGCUCUUACGGGUGGCGAGUGGCGGACGGGUGAGGAAUAUAUCGGAAUCUACUUUUUCGUGGGGGAUAACGUAGGGAAACUUACGCUAAUACCGCAUACGACCUACGGGUGAAAGCAGGGGAUCUUCGGACCUUGCGCGAUUGAAUGAGCCGAUGUCGGAUUAGCUAGUUGGCGGGGUAAAGGCCCACCAAGGCGACGAUCCGUAGCUGGUCUGAGAGGAUGAUCAGCCACACUGGAACGGGGACACGGUCCAGACUCCUACGGGAGGCAGCAGUGGGGAAUAUUAGACAAUGGGCGCAAGCCUGAUCCAGCCAUACCGCGUGGGUGAAGAAGGCCUUCGGGUUGUAAAGCCCUUUUGUUGGGAAAGAAAAGCAGCAGGUUAAUACCCCGCUGUUCUGACGGUACCCAAAGAAUAAGCACCGGCUAACUUCGUG